CCUACGGGUGGCAGCAGUGGGGAAUAUUGCGCAAUGGGCGAAAGCCUGACGCAGCGACGCCGCGUGAGGGAUGAAGGUCUUCGGAUCGUAAACCUCUGUCAGCAGGGAAGAACGGUCACUGUGCUAAUCAGCAGUGAAUUGACGGUACCUGCAAAGGAAGCACCGGCUAACUCCGUGCCAGCAGCCGCGGUAAUACGGAUGGUGCGAGCGUUAAUCGGAAUUACGGGGCGUAAAGCGCUCGUAGGCGGUAUGGCAAGUCAAGGGUGAAAUCCCCGGGCUCAACGUGGGAACUGCCUUUUAAAAUGGCAAACUGGAGUGUGUGAGAGGAUAGGGGAAUUCCAGGGGUAGGAGUGAAAACGGUA
rnacentral:rRNA from 1 species